GCUGCUCGAAAAUGGCAUACCUCUACGGGGUGAGCAGUAGGCAACGUAAUGGCUAUUACGGCAGAAUUGCCUUA
rnacentral:ribozyme from 1 species